GACGAAGGAUGCAAGCGUUAUCCGGAUUCAUUGGGUUUAAAGGGUGCGUAGGUGGCUUGCUAAGUCAGUGGUGAAAUCGUCCGGCCCAACCGGACGCCUGCCAAUGAUACUGGUGAGCUCGAGUGCGUGAGGGGUGGGGGGAACGAGCAGUGUAGCGGUGAAAUGCGUAGAUAUUGCUCGGAAGGCCAAAGCCGAAGGGACCCCACUGGUACGUAACUGACACUGAGGCACGAAAGCGUGGGGAGCAAACAGG
rnacentral:rRNA from 1 species